AUUGAACGCGGGCGGCAUGCCUUACACAUGCAAGUCGAACGGUAACGCGGGGCAACCUGGCGACGAGUGGCGAACGGGUAAGUAAUGUAUCGGAACGUGCCCAGUUGUGGGGGAUAACUGCUCGAAAGAGCAGCUAAUACCGCAUACGACCUGAGGGUGAAAGCGGGGGAUCGCAAGACCUCGCGCAAUUGGAGCGGCCGAUAUCAGAUUAGGUAGUUGGUGGGGUAAAGGCUCACCAAGCCAACGAUCUGUAGCUGGUCUGAGAGGACGACCAGCCACACUGGGACUGAGACACGGCCCAGACUCCUACGGGAGGCAGCAGUGGGGAAUUGUGGACAAUGGACGCAAGUCUGAUCCAGCCAUGCCGCGUGCGGGAAGAAGGCCUUCGGGUUGUAAACCGCUUUUGUCAGGGAAGAAACGCUCUGGGUUAAUACCUCGGGGUAAUGACGGUACCUGAAGAAUAAGCACCGGCUAACUACGUGCCAGCCGCCGCAGUAAGAC
rnacentral:rRNA from 1 species